rnacentral:rRNA from 3 species
CACCGCGGUUAUACGAAAGACCCCAGUUGACAGGCACGGCGUAAAGGGUGGUUAGGGAGCACAAAAAUAAAGCUAAAGAUCCUCUAGGUUGUUAUACGCAUUACGAGGAAACGAGGCCCUAACACGAAAGUAGCUUUAAAUAAAUAUCCUGAUGCCACGAAAACCAAGAAA